AUUGAACGCUGGCGGCAGGCCUAACACAUGCAGGUCGAACGGUAACAGGAAACAGCUUGCUGUUUCGCUGACGAGUGGCGGACGGGUGAGUAAUGUCUGGGAAACUGCCUGAUGGAGGGGGAUAACUACUGGAAACGGUAGCUAAUACCGCAUAACGUCGCAAGACCAAAGAGGGGGACCUUCGGGCCUCUUGCCAUCGGAUGUGCCCAGAUGGGAUUAGCUUGUUGGUGGGGUAACGGCUCACCAAGGCGACGAUCCCUAGCUGGUCUGAGAGGAUGACCAGCCACACUGGAACUGAGACACGGUCCAGACUCCUACGGGAGGCAGCAGUGGGGAAUAUUGCACAAUGGGCGCAAGCCUGAUGCAGCCAUGCCGCGUGUAUGAAGAAGGCCUUCGGGUUGUAAAGUACUUUCAGCGGGGAGGAAGGGAGUAAAGUUAAUACCUUUGCUCAUUGACGUUACCCGCAGAAGAAGCACCGGCUAACUCCGUGCCAGCAGCCGCGGUAAUACGGAGGGUGNCAGCGUUAAUCGGAAUUACUGGGCG
rnacentral:rRNA from 1 species